CAGCCCCUAGUCCUAACCAACCAGCUAUCCCUCUGGUUCACCUGAGCUGGAAGACAGCCCACCACCAUAAGGUUAUAAACACCUUUGCAAGGGGAAGACAGGCUCUCUAAGCACUUGGGAACUUGCAGCUGUGGGAAAGAAAAAGUCAAGAGUCAACAGGUGUGGUGGCCAACGCCUUUAAUCCCAGCAAGAAGGUUGUUCCUGCUACAAGGCCCAGGUGACGGUAUCUACGUUCCAAGGAUAUGCAUUCCUGUCAGGGUGCUGAGCAGGGCCGGGCAGGCAACACAAGGCAAGUCUGGACUACUGGAAAGCAAAAAAAAAAAAAAAAGUCACAGGACAGCGAAGCUCCAGUAAUUGCUGCCUCUCUUUGAACUUCACCACCGUGCCUAAGGACUUCCAGAAGGAAGACGCCAGAAAGUCGGUUAAGGAACACAAAGACUCAGUAAACAAGUCAGGGUCAAGGCCAAAAAGAAGUAGUCCAAAGGCAAAGCUCAGGACAAGUUCAACAACCUAGUCCUGUUUGACAAAGCUACUUACAACAAGUUCAGCAAGGAGUUCCCAACUGUAAGUUUACUCCCCUAGCUGUGGAUCCUGAGAGAUCCAAGCCCAGCCCUUCAAGGCUCUCCUAGUGAAGGACUUGUCAAACCACUUUCAAAGCACAGAACUCAAGUAAUUUAUACCAGAAAUACUAAGAGUGAAAAAUCCCCCAGCUUCUGGUGA